rnacentral:rRNA from 1 species
CUUGAUUAUUAAAAGCUUAUAUUCUUAAAAUUUAAAGAAUUUGGCGGUAAUUUAGUCUUGUCAGAGGAACCUGUUUAUGGAUCGAUAAACCACGAAGUAUCUUACUUAAGUUUGUAUACCAUCAUUAUUAGAUAAUUUUAAGAAAAUGAAUUAUUAGGGUUAUUUUUAAUAGAGAAAUUAGAUCAAGGUGCAGCUUAUAUAUAAGUUUAAAUGGGUUACAAUAAAGUUUUUAUUUAUAUGGAUUUAUAAAUAGUGAAGGUGGAUUUGAUUGUAUUAAGUUUUAAUAUGGUUUAAAGAUAUAUGCUCUAGAUUAUGU